UUAGCUCACCUCGACGAAGUCGAGAUGAGCUUAUGCUAUACCCCCGGCGUCGGCGUCGGUGUCGGCGUUAGCGUCGGCGUCCCAGGUUAAAGUUUUAGGAGCAAGUCCAUUCCCAAGUAACUAUAAGCCCUACCUGGACCAAACUUGCAUUGAUGAUGCAUCUAGGGAUGGACACUACCACACUUGCUUCGGAUGCUGGAUCUGACCUAGAUUUUCCGGAUGAGUGACCAGGUUAAAGUUUUAGGAGCAAGUCCCAUUCCCAAGUAACUAUAAGCCCUACCUUGACCAAACUUGCAUGGAUGAUGCAUCUAGGGAUGGACACUACCACACUUGCUUCGGAUGCUGGAUCUGACCUAGAUUUUCCAGAUGAGUGACCAGGUUAAAGUUUUAGGAGCAGGUCCAUUCCCAAGUAACUAUAAGCCCUACCUGGACCAAACUUGCAUGGAUGAUGCAUCUAGGGAUGGACACUACCACACUUGCUUCGGAUGCUGGAUCUGACCUAGAUUUUCCAGAUGAGUGACCAGGUUAAAGUUUUAGGAGCAGGUCCAUUCCCAAGUAACUAUAAGCCCUACCUGGACCAAACUUGCAUGGAUGAUGCAUCUAGGGAUGGACACUACCACACUUACUUCAGAUGCUGGAUCUGAUGUAGAUUUUCCAGAUGUGUACCAGGUUAAAGUUUUAGGAGCAGGUCCAUUCCCAAGUAACUAUAAGCCCUACCUGGACCAAACUUGCAUGGAUGAUGCAUCUAGGGAUGGACACUACCACACUUGCUUCGGAUGCUGGAUCUGACCUAGAUUUUCCGGAUGAGUGACCAGGUUAAAGUUUUAGGAGCAGGUCCAUUCCAAAGUAACUCUAAGCCCUACCUUGACCAAACUUGCAUGGAUGAUGCAUCCAGGGAUGGACACUACCACACUUGCUUCGGAUGCUGGAUCUGACCUAGAUUUUCCACAUGUGAGACCAGGUUUAGAUUUAGGAGUAGUCUCGUUCCCAAGUAACUAUAAGCCCUACCUGGUCCAAACUUUCAUGGAUGAUGCAUCUAGGGAUGUACACUAACCAAUCUGCUUCGAAUGCUGGAUCUGACCUAGAUUUUCCACAUGAGUGAAUUUUAGCCAUAUUUUAACCAAAUUAGCAUGGAUGAUGUAUCUAGGGAUGGAUACUUCCAGACUUGCCUUGGAUUCUGAAUCUGACGUACAUUUUCCAGAUGAGUGACCAGGGUAAUUUUUUGGAGUAGCUAUAUAAUAUUAUGGCCUGUUAUGAUAAAACUUGCAUAGAUGGUGCAUCUAAGGAUGAAAACUUCCAGACUUGCUUUGGAUGUUGGAACUGACCAAAAUUUUCUUGAUUACUAAACAGGUCAAAAGUUUUUUGAGCAGAUCUAUAAUUAAAUCAAACUUGCAUGGAUAUUGAUCUUGGGAUGUACCCUAACUAGAAAAAAAAUAUGAUGUGAAAUUUGCCUUACAUGUAGAUAACAUUCGUCGAGGUGAGCUUCGUAAUCUUUGAUUACCUAUGUUUUGUUAUUGACAUGGAAUUGAAGCAGUGUGUGAUUGAAAUGAAAAAUCCAACUCUGUGGAAUAUGGAGUAUUAUUUCAUAAAGGAAAAAAAAACUGAAAAGGAAUGUGAAAUCUCUGUUAAUUAAAACACUCAUUAAUUAAUCAACAAACACAGUAGUAAAUUUGUAGAAGUAUAUAUAAAUGUUCUCCUUCGCAACAGAUGCCAUAUUUAACCUGUUAAACUAGUUAUUUGACUUGUACAACAAAGAAUGUUGCAAUCAUGUCACUGAACCAACAGACUCGGCCUCAUUCUUACGCGUAGCCUCACUUUAGUAUGGAUGAGUCCAUGUAUGAGGGGUGUACAGGUCAUUUUAUGUUUUUGGUGCCUGAAUUAUAAAAAGAGAUCAUCAUUGUUUCAUAUAUGUACAUUUGUGAUAAUGUAAAAUUUUAUUCAUGGAGAAACAGUCAUUUUGAGCCAAAAACCCACCUUCAUUUAAACUAUCCUGAUAUUAUCAAGAAAAAUGUGUUUUUGAAUUCUUAAAACCACUUUUCCAUGUGUCAAACCUUAGCCAUAUAUUGUUGCAAUGUGUAUAUAUCUCUCAUUUAAUUUGCAUAGAGUAGACCAAAUUUUUUGUAUUUUUGCAAAACUUUUUUUUUUGGCAAAACAUGGAUCUUUAUCAUGCUUAAAGCUGUUUGUAAGUACAAAAAAGAUUAAGGAGAAUCAAAUCAAAUCUAUCAUUUUAAGGUCACUAAUACCUGGAUUAUAGUGUAACAUGAAUCCCCUGUGUAUUGUGACUGUUAGUGGUGCUAUAUUUAGUAACAUCAUCAAAAUUUUGACAUAAAAUACUAUGUCAAUUCAUAGUUACCUGUAUUUAUGUACAUCUUUAUAGUGAGGUCCUUUGUUCACAAAUUUUAAAUGUGUACAUUACAAAACAGGAGUUAAGUCUUACUGAACUUUAUAAUUUUAUAGAUCUGUACUGCUGAUGUUAUUUUAUCAUUUGUACAUGUCCGUAUUAUUUUGCCACAAACAUGUAACAUAUGUACUUAAUUAUUUUCAAGGUAAUACAUUUGUUGUUUUAUUGGUCAUUGAUAAAUUAGUAGUUUCAUUACAUAAACUGGCAAAGACAGGAUUCUCCUUUCUUAUUUUGACACAAUGGAAUUUUUAUUUGUAAUUAAUUUAAUGUUGUACUGCACCAUUGUAAACUUUUUUGCACAUAAAUUGAAGUUGAUGGUUUAUUUUUGCUCUGAAUUUCUUCAAUAUAAAUGAAGUAUAUAACUUCUAUUUUAUUCAUACGAUUGAAAAUAAUUAUGUUCUUAGUGUCACAAAAUAUAAAACCAAGAUUUUAAGACAUUUUCUUUACUGAAGUCAAAGAAAAGUUCCCUGCUUUUUAUUGUUGAUUUCAUUUCUCUUUUAUAUGAACUACUGUUUCUACAUUAUUAAGUUAAAUAUUUAACUUUGAUACAUUUUAGAUAAUUUUUUUUAUAUCAUCUGCUUUAUUUCAAAGGUUGUGUACUCGUUAUUUAUAGAACUGCAUUGUGUUUUACAUAUUUUUUUUUGUUUUCAAUAUGUAGCGGUAUUUUAUAUUUAGUACUUUACUCAUGUGAACCCUGAUGUGAUGAUGUCACAAGUGAUGAGUAUUGCUUUCGGUUGUGUUUGUGUUUUGUAGACAUUUUGACCUUGAACAAAACAUCUUUUUCAAUAAAUUGUCAUAAUUA